rnacentral:misc_RNA from 1 species
AAGGUAAACAAUGCAUGUGCUUUGCGUGGAAAGACACUAAAUAAAAAGAGACAAGCACUUGCAGUAAUAACAAUACAGGUAAGUAGUAGACUGGAGUGGAGACGACGGAAAAACAGGUAAUAAAAGAGAUACUACACUGGAACAAAGACGAGACAAAACAGCUACAGGGAAGACUAGAAGCAUCGGCCAGCAUAGCAAAACACAAUGCUUGUAAAGACAUUGCGUUGCAUACCGGCCGACCCCGUCGUCCCCCCUGGUCGUCGAAAUUGGCGUCAUCCAGAGUCGUCAGAGGUAGCUGCAAUUAGCACCUCGUCGUCGUUGUGGCUGUGGCUGCCCUCUUGGAGAACCAGUGGCACUGGUCCGGCCACCAGCUGGGAGCCAGGAGUAGACGGCACAUAUAUUACUGUGGCGACACGGGUCCGGCCGCCAAAGUGAAAUGGAUGACCAUAGGGCACUCUGAAUGCCAUGGCACUGGAUCCGGCCACCAGCUAAGGACGAUGGCGAUGGCAUAACUCGAACGGCACAGUGGCAGAGAUGUGUCCAAUCAGUACACAGCGUUCCAGGAUAUCUGGUUGUCAAGAUGGUACCUCAUGUUGCGGGCGUAGGCCUUAAUGUCAUCCAUGGAGUCGUCAUCUGUCCACAUCUCAUCGUCAUCGUUUUCUUCAUCCG